rnacentral:rRNA from 1 species
GAUGAGCGCUGGCGGCGUGCUUAACACAUGCAAGUCGAACGAUGAAGCCCAGCUUGCUGGGUGGAUAGUGGCGAACGGGUGAGUAACACGUGAGCAACCUGCCCCUGACUCUGGGAUAAGCGCUGGAAACGGCGUCUAAUACUGGAUAUGUCCCGUCACCGCAUGGUGUGCGGGUGGAAAGAUUUUUCGGUUGGGGAUGGGCUCGCGGCCUAUCAGCUUGUUGGUGAGGUAAUGGCUCACCAAGGCGUCGACGGGUAGCCGGCCUGAGAGGGUGACCGGCCACACUGGGACUGAGACACGGCCCAGACUCCUACGGGAGGCAGCAGUGGGGAAUAUUGCACAAUGGGCGAAAGCCUGAUGCAGCAACGCCGCGUGAGGGAUGACGGCCUUCGGGUUGUAAACCUCUUUUAGCAGGGAAGAAGCGAAAGUGACGGUACCCGCAGAAAAGGCACCGGCUAACUACGUGCCAGCCGCCGCCGUAAUAC